GACGAACGCUGGCGGCGUGCUUAACACAUGCAAGUCGAACGGAAAGGCCCUGCUUUUGUGGGGUGCUCGAGUGGCGAACGGGUGAGUAACACGUGAGUAACCUGCCCUUGACUUUGGGAUAACUUCAGGAAACUGGGGCUAAUACCGGAUAGGAGCUCCUGCUGCAUGGUGGGGGUUGGAAAGUUUCGGCGGUUGGGGAUGGACUCGCGGUUUAUCAGUUUGUUGGUGGGGUAGUGGCUUACCAAGGCUUUGACGGGUAGCCGGCCUGAGGGGGUGACCGGCACAGUGGGGAGUGGGAGCCGGCCCGGCUCCGUGGGGGAGCAGGAGGGGGGAAUAUUGCACAAUGGGCGGAAGCCUGAUGCAGCAACGCCGCGUGCGGGAUGACGGCCUUCGGGUUGUAAACCGCUUUCGCCUGUGACGAAGCGUGAGUGACGGUAAUGGGUAAAGAAGCACCGGCUAACUACGUG
rnacentral:rRNA from 1 species